GAUGAACGCUGGCGGCGUGCCUAAUACAUGCAAGUCGAGCGAACGGACGAGAAGCUUGCUUUUCUGAUGUUAGCGGCGGACGGGUGAGUAACACGUGGAUAACCUACCUAUAAGGCUGGGAUAACUUCGGGAAACCGGAGCUAAUACCGGAUAAUAUUUUGAACCGCAUGGUUCAAAAGUGAAAGACGGUCUUGCUGUCACUUAUAUAUGGAUCCGCGCUGCAUUAGCUAGUUGGUAAGGUAACGGCUUACCAAGGCAACGAUGCAUAGCCGACCUGAGAGGGUGAUCGGCCACACUGGAACUGAGACACGGUCCAGACUCCUACGGGAGGCAGCAGUAGGGAAUCUUCCGCAAUGGGCGAAAGCCUGACGGAGCAACGCCGCGUGAGUGAUGAAGGUCUUCGGAUCGUAAAACUCUGUUAUUAGGGAAGAACAAAUGUGUAAGUAACUGUGCACAUCUUGACGGUACCUAAUCAGAAAGCCACGGCUAACUACGUG
rnacentral:rRNA from 1 species